UACGAAGGGGGCUAGCGUUGUCCGGAAUUACUGGGCGUAAAGAGCUCGUAGGUGGUUUGUCGCGUUGUUCGUGAAAACUCACAGCUCAACUGUGGGCGUGCGGGCGAUACGGGCAGACUUGAGUACUGCAGGGGAGACUGGAAUUCCUGGUGUAGCGGUGGAAUGCGCAGAUAUCAGGAGGAACACCAAUGGCGAAGGCAGGUCUCUGGGCCGAAACUGACGCUGAGGAGCGAAAGCGUGGGGAGCGAACAGG
rnacentral:rRNA from 1 species